rnacentral:rRNA from 1 species
CCUACGGGUGGCAGCAGUGGGGAAUAUUGCACAAUGGGGGGAACCCUGAUGCAGCAAUGCCGCGUGAAGGAUGAAGGUUUUCGGAUUGUAAACCUCCUUUGUACGGGACGAAGAAAGUGACGGUACUGUAAGAAUAAGACACGGCUAAUAACGGGGCAGCAGCCGCGGCAAUACGUAGGUGGCAAGCGUUAUUCGGAUUUACUGGGUGUAAAGGGCGAGUAGGCGGGAUUGGAAGUCAGAUGUGAAAACUGUGGGCUCAACCGAUAGAGUGCAUUUGAGACUGCAGUGCUUGAGGGAUGGAGGGGCAGGCGGAAUUCCCGGUGUAGCGGUGGAAUGCGUAGAUAUCGGGAGGAACACCGGUGGCGAAGGCGGCCUGCUGGACAUUAACUGACGCUGAGGCACGAAAGCGUGGGGAGCAAACAGGAUUAGAUACCCUUGUAGUC